CCCUGCCCCGGGAGCAUCGCCCCCAACCCCGAGCCGCAGGGGAGGGCGGAGGCCGAGCUCGCCCCGGCUCCAGCCAGGGGUCUCCGGGAGGAUUCUUUUGGAGAGUGUUCGGAGCCGGCAGAUCCCGGACUCGAGCCCCGGCCCAGAAAUGAGUUCUGCACCUUUAAGGCUGGUUCUGAGAGUGAAGGGGAGGAGAAAGAAGCAGCAGUUUGUUUUCAUACACUGCAUUCCUCUACAUUCCAGCUGCUGGAUGGAGAGACAGCAGGUGUUUAAAUCUGCUCUGCACUGAACAGCCAGAACACCGGCACCUCGCACCUGUGGCCCACCUGGCUGAGCCUGGGCCAGCAUUUCCAGUGCUGGAGGGACUGAAAAGAGACUGAUAAGAGACUGAUAAGACACUGAGUGCACGGAGCUACAACCCAAGGAGGGACUUUCGGAGUUUGUCAUCUAUUUUGGAGCAGCAGGAGGUUUUAUUGCUUAAUAUUGUUCAGUUUUUGUGCUGGUGAAUGCUUUGCCUGUAGAAUAAAGUUUUUUCCACUUUU